GAAUUCGCCCUUAGAGUUUGAUCAUGGCUCAGGAUGAACGCUGGCGGCGUGCUUAACACAUGCAAGUCGAACGGACCAUAUUCGUAUGGUUAGUGGCAGACGGGUGCGUAACACGUGGGUGACCUGCCCUUAAGUGGGGAAUAACUCCGCUAACGCGGAGCUAAUACCGCAUAUGUUCGCUCAUUCGGUUGGGCGAGUAAAGCAGCGAUGCGCUUAGGGAUGGGCCUGCGGCGGAUUAGGUAGUUGGUGGGGUAACGGCCUACCAAGCCGAUGAUCCGUAGGGGGCGUGAGAGCGUGGCCCCCCACACUGGCACUGAGACACGGGCCAGACUCCUACGGGAGGCAGCAGUGAGGAAUAUUGCACAAUGGGCGCAAGCCUGAUGCAGCAACGCCGCGUGAGGGACGAAGGCCUUCGGGUUGUAAACCUCUUUUCUGAGGGACGAGGAAGGACGGUACCUCAGGAAUAAGUCUCGGCUAACUACGUGCCAGCAGCCGCGGUAAAACGUAGGAGGCGAGCGUUAUCCGGAUUUACUGGGCGUAAAGCGCGCGCAGGUGGCUUCGUGAGUCGGACAUGAAAGCUCCUGGCUUAACUGGGAGAGGCUGUUCGAUACUGCGGGGCUUGAGGUUGGGAGAGGGACGCGGAAUUCCCGGUGUAGUGGUGGAAUGCGUUGAGAUCGGGAGGAACACCAGUAGCGAAGG
rnacentral:rRNA from 1 species